GUGAAGUGAUGAUGACAGCAUAGUUCAGCUGAAGAUCUUUGACGACAUUCUUUGAGUAUCAAGUCUUUCGCUCCUAGCUGAUGCUUCAC